UGGGCUUGACAUCCCACGAACCUUCCCGAAAGGGUUGGGUGCCCGCAAGGGAGCGUGGAGACAGGUGGUGCAUGGCUGUCGUCAGCUCGUGUCGUGAGAUGUUGGGUUAAGUCCCGCAACGAGCGCAACCCUCACCCCUUGUUGCCACCGGGUAAAGCCGAGCACUCUAGGGGAACUGCUAGCGUCAAGCUGGAGGAAGGUGGGGAUGACGUCAGGUCAUCAUGCCCCUUACGCCCUGGGCUACACACGUGCUACAAUGGCCGGUACAAAGGGAUGCAAGACCGCGAGGUGGAGCUAACCCCAAAAAACCGGUCUAAGUUCAGAUUGCAGUCUGCAACUCGACUGCAUGAAGGAGGAAUCGCUAGUAAUCGCGCAUCAGCACGGCGCGGUGAAUACGUUCCCGGGCCUUGUACACACCGCCCGUCACACCACGAAAGCCGGCUGUACUCGAAGUCGCUGAG
rnacentral:rRNA from 1 species